GGAAUCAAACCUUGAUAGUGACUCGCGAGCCGGAAAGGCUCCAAAAUUAUAAUCAGAGUCUGCUGUGCUGCGGAAUGAAUCAAACCGAGCAAAGGAGUCACGUUGCUGGAAUGAACCAUUAUCAUACUCAGAGUCUCUGGUGCUGCGCAUGGAAUCAAAUCUUGAAAAUUCACGACUACCGAAGAGGCCGCCAUCUUGCAUGUUGAAUGAAUCAUAUCUGGAAAGGCUGCUCAAGUGAUCUUCAGAGAAUUCAUUAGAUCUUCGAGGUGAGUUGGUAGAGCUAAACAUAGGUGUGCCUGGAACCGAGUCCGCAAAGGAAAAUGGACUUCUUUUCUGGAACAUAUUGUCAGCAACUGGCGAGCCACCUGCGUUAUAGGCCGGUGUGCUGGGAACAGAAUCAAAGAAGGGACUUGGUCUAGAGAACAAGCUGUCCCCCUGUGGGAAUCCAG
rnacentral:misc_RNA from 1 species